CCACCGGUAGCUCAGUCGGAAGAGCAUACAGAGUACAAUGCAAAACAAUCCAGAAAUUUGAUUCUGUAGGCGCUGGUUCGAGCCCAGCUCGGAGGC
rfam:Stereum hirsutum FP-91666 SS1 unplaced genomic scaffold STEHIscaffold_2, whole genome shotgun sequence.